AUUGAACGCUGGCGGCAGGCCUAACACAUGCAAGUCGAGCGGAUGAAGGGAGCUUGCUCCUGGAUUCAGCGGCGGACGGGUGAGUAAUGCCUAGGAAUCUGCCUGGUAGUGGGGGAUAACGUCCGGAAACGGGCGCUAAUACCGCAUACGUCCUGAGGGAGAAAGUGGGGGAUCUUCGGACCUCACGCUAUCAGAUGAGCCUAGGUCGGAUUAGCUAGUUGGUGGGGUAAAGGCCUACCAAGGCGACGAUCCGUAACUGGUCUGAGAGGAUGAUCAGUCACACUGGAACUGAGACACGGUCCAGACUCCUACGGGAGGCAGCAGUGGGGAAUAUUGGCCGAUGGGCGAAAGCCUGAUCCAGCCAUGCCGCGUGUGUGGAGAAGGUCUUCGGAUUGUAAAGCACUUUAAGUUGGGAGGAAGGGCAGUAAGUUAAUACCUUGCUGUUUUGACGUUACCUACAGAAUAAGCACCGGCUAACUUCGUG
rnacentral:rRNA from 1 species